rnacentral:misc_RNA from 1 species
AACCUAGCACACCUGCGGUGUGUACCUGCGGAAGGAUCAUUACCGAGUGCGGGCCCGCUCUGGGCCCAACCUCCCACCCGUGUCUCUUGCGUACUUUGUUGCUUUGGCGGGCCCACUGGGUCACUCCGGUCGCCGGGGAGCGCUAUGCUCCCGGGCCCGUGCCCGCCAGAGCACCCCUGUGAACCCUGAUGAAGAGAGGCUGUCUGAGUCCCACGAUAAUCGUUAAAACUUUUAACAACG